UACGUAGGGUGCAAGCGUUGUCCGGAAUUAUUGGGCGUAAAGAGCUCGUAGGCGGUCUGUCGCGUCGGCUGUGAAAACUCGGGGCUCAACCCCGAGCCUGCAGUCGAUACGGGCAGACUAGAGUGCAGUAGGGGAGACUGGAAUUCCUGGUGUAGCGGUGAAAUGCGCAGAUAUCAGGAGGAACACCGGUGGCGAAGGCGGGUCUCUGGGCUGUAACUGACGCUGAGGAGCGAAAGCGUGGGGAGCGAACAGG
rnacentral:rRNA from 1 species